AAACCAACAGGGAUUGCCUUAGUAACGGCGAGUGAAGCGGCAAAAGCUCAAAUUUGAAAGCCUCGGCAUUGUAAUUUCAAGACUCUAAGAAAAUAACGUUCACAAGUCCAUUGGAAAAUGGCGCCACAGAGGGUGACAGCCCCGUAGAACAAAAAACAUCUUAGGGCCAAAGAGUCGAGUUGUUUGGGAAUGCAGCUCUAAUGGUGGUAAAUUCCAUCAAAAGCUAAAUACUGGCGAGAGACCGAUAGCGAACAAGUACAGUGAUGGAAAGAUGAAAAGCACUUUGAAAAGAGAGUGAAACAGUACGUGAAAUUGUUGGAAGGGAAGGGCUUGCAAGCAGACACGGUUCGUCCGGGCCAGCAUCAGUUGCAGGGGUGUCACAAAACGUCAAGAAUGUAAGCUUCGGUGGUUAUAGCUUGGCGCAAUGGCACCUCCCGCGACUGAGGCCUGCAUUCCUUUAGGAUGCUGGCGUAAUGGUUGCAAGUCGC
rnacentral:rRNA from 1 species